rnacentral:rRNA from 1 species
GGGGUACUAAUACAUGCAAGUCGAGCGGACAGAAGGGAGCUUGCUCCCGGAUGUUAGCGGCGGACGGGUGAGUAACACGUGGGUAACCUGCCUGUAAGACUGGGAUAACUCCGGGAAACCGGAGCUAAUACCGGAUAGUUCCUUGAACCGCAUGGUUCAAGGAUGAAAGACGGUUUCGGCUGUCACUUACAGAUGGACCCGCGGCGCAUUAGCUAGUUGGUGGGGUAAUGGCUCACCAAGGCGACGAUGCGUAGCCGACCUGAGAGGGUGAUCGGCCACACUGGGACUGAGACACGGCCCAGACUCCUACGGGAGGCAGCAGUAGGGAAUCUUCCGCAAUGGACGAAAGUCUGACGGAGCAACGCCGCGUGAGUGAUGAAGGUUUUCGGAUCGUAAAGCUCUGUUGUUAGGGAAGAACAAGUGCGAGAGUAACUGCUCGCACCUUGACGGUACCUAACCAGAAAGCCACGGCUAACUACGUGCCAGCAGCCGCGGUAAUACGUAGGUGGCAAGCGUUGUCCGGAAUUAUUGGGCGUAAAGGGCUCGCAGGCGGUUUCUUAAGUCUGAUGUGAAAGCCCCCGGCUCAACCGGGGAGGGUCAUUGGAAACUGGGAAACUUGAGUGCAGAAGAGGAGAGUGGAAUUCCACGUGUAGCGGUGAAAUGCGUAGAGAUGUGGAGGAACACCAGUGGCGAAGGCGACUCUCUGGUCUGUAACUGACGCUGAGGAGCGAAAGCGUGGGGAGCGAACAGGAUUAGAA